AGUUGGUUGUUGGCAGUCACUCGGUAUUGUUGAUUUGUGUGUCUGCUGAAGAAAUUGCGGGUGAAAUUGAGUUGUUCGACACGUAAAUGUUAAUUUCAGUAAUUUUCUUAGGGGAAAAGGGUUCUGUGUUAAGCACUGUAGAAUGAAUGCUUCCUUCUUAAUUUGAGGAUUGCAUGAAGAAGUUGCCGUGUGAUUCAAUAUGAAGUGAAUAGGCAUAAGAAGUUUGCGAAAUAAAUUGGUGAUAUCGAUCGAAAGUUGAAAGUGAAAGUUCUAUAUGUGUUAGAAAUUAUUUGUGGGUUAUAAUUUGAAGAAAGAAAAAAAAAGAUUGCGCAAUAACUUAUACCGAAAAUUGGACUCAUCGAAGCGUGAAAUGUGAUUUUGUGUGUCUUCAGAAGCACAAAAGAUUUAUCCAUAAAAGUGUAAAGGUGCGAUAGUGGCAUUAAAUUGAAAUUGAGGGUGUUAGGAGUUCAAGGAGGAGACACUGCCAUCUGACCAGCUGAGGAGGAUGCUCAAGGGAAUGGGGAUAGUGACUACAACAUUGGGAGGCACAAAAACAAGCAUAUACGGCACUAGUGGAAUGCCCAGGCAGUACUGAUAGCACGCCUACGGACCUCCAUAUGCUAUCACUCUUGCUUUCGCAGAACUCCAUCACGACUGACAUGAAUAGGAGUGAGCAGGAGAAUCUCUUUCGGCAGGCGCACGAUAUUCGGUUGAAGCAGGAGGAGAGGGCACGUCAACAGAGACCCAGGCACUACUCCCACGGAAAUAUCCGACAUCUGGCCACCCUGCACUCAGCCGACACGAGAUCAGUGGGUGCUGGGGUGCGCGAUGAUCUCAUGCUGUCGGUGCUGAAGAGUCCACUCCUCAUCGAACGUCGUCAUUCGCCGGCUACCCAGGCUCCCAUCAUCUCCACCACGAGAUGUGCCUAUGCUGCCCUACGUGGUUCGGAAGAUGAACUUGUGGACGACACAACGGCUCAGGCUGGUAAUCCUGGGCCAACCUUUCACUUCUUGAAGCGCUUCCGUCCGAACACCUCGCCACGCUUUGAGGGACGCUCUCGACGCGUGUCUGCACCCCUCAAGCACAAGAACCGACCUCGAUCUCACAUCAAAGCCAACAUCAUCGAUCCUGCAUCUCCGGGGAAUGAGGAAAUUGUGGGAGAUGACGAGGAUGAUGCUGUAAUUGAAGAAAUCGAUGCAACGGAUUCAGGUGUUCAAGAUCCAUAUUAUCCCAUAGCUCUUCCUAUCGAUCAAGCAUAUAAAGCGAAAUAUGCAUUUCAAAGACGGCACGGGAGGACUUUUCAGGAGCGUGUUUAUGUGUUCCUCGAGCACCCUGGUGGGUGGUUAUGCUUCAUUUACCAUUUUACUGUGUUUAUGCUCGUGCUCGUAUGCCUAAUUUUUAGUGUUCUAUCGACAAUUGAGGAGUACACGGAUUUCACAAACGAAACACUAUUCUGGAUGGAAAUAUGGCUUGUGGUAUUCUUCGGCUUAGAAUACAUUGUUCGUCUCUGGUCUGCAGGAUGCCGUUCAAAAUACAUGGGGCUGUGGGGACGAUUACGCUUCAUACGGAAACCCAUAUGCAUUAUAGACUUGAUCGUCGUGGUGGCGUCCAUGGUAGUACUAUCUGUUGGGUCAAAUGGUCAGGUCUUUGCAACAAGCGCCAUUCGCGGGAUUCGCUUUCUGCAGAUACUACGUAUGCUGCAUGUCGAUCGACAGGGCGGCACGUGGCGACUACUCGGCUCUGUUGUCUACAUCCAUCGCCAAGAAUUGAUUACGACGCUCUACAUUGGAUUCUUGGGGCUCAUCUUCAGUUCGUACUUUGUGUAUCUGGCAGAGAAGGAUGUGGUUGGUCCAGAUGGCAAGAAACACUUUGCCAGCUACGCAGAUGCUCUCUGGUGGGGUGUUAUUACGGUUACGACCAUAGGAUAUGGAGAUGCCGUACCACAAACUUGGCUGGGCAAAAUUGUAGCGUCGUGCUUCAGUGUCUUUGCCAUUUCAUUUUUUGCACUCCCUGCUGGUAUUCUUGGCUCUGGCUUUGCCCUAAAAGUGCAACAGAAGCAACGUCAGAAGCAUUUCAAUCGCCAAAUACCUGCUGCAGCAAUGCUCAUACAAUGUUUAUGGCGUUGCUAUGCUGCCGACAAGAAAUUCCAUAGUGAAGCUACGUGGGAUAUUCAUGUGCAGAACAAAGAAGAUGAGGCACAUCAACAGUCGGGAUCCACGGUACUUCCAACACAAUUGGGAAAGACCCUAAUGGUACAGGUGGCAAAACGCGGAGCGAGCGUCCUAAAGCGUCGCAAGAGUCGCAAUCGAAUGGAGCAGACAGCAGCAGCGUGUAGUACCCCGACUACCCAGACAGCUGGUGAGCAGCCAACGCCAAGGAGCGAGUCAACUGAGGGUGACGCUGCUUUUUACAAUGACGACACACGCAUUGGAACACCAAACCGAAAUCGAAGAGAAAAGGAAACAACCAGAGGAAUUUUUGCAAGUCAAACGAGUUCAGUCACGGAAGGGGCUAGCGAUGAAGUGGAACAGUCUGAGCAAUUGGAACAGGACCAAGAGGGAGACGAUGAUGCAGAACCAGCUCGAGUGACCUCAUUGACCGAAACUCAUAAGAAUGCAAUACGUGCCAUUCGCAAGAUUAAGUACUUUGUGGCCAGGAGGAAGUUCCAGCAAGCACGAAAGCCAUACGAUGUCCGGGAUGUCAUUGAGCAGUAUUCUCAGGGUCAUCUCAACAUGAUGGUGCGCAUCAAGGAGCUUCAGAGGCGCCUGGAUCAGACUCUGGGAAAACCAGGAAGUUACUUGGUGAGUGGAGAUAGAAUGGGUAAUAUGAAACCCAUGACAGUGGGUGCUAGGCUGUACAGUGUGGAGCAGAAAAUUGGUGGGAUGGAGAAACAGAUGACGGAAGUGGUCAACAAUAUGUCUGCAAUUCAUAAUCAAUUGCAGAGUGUCACAAUGCUCCUCACUCAGUAUUUGCACACUCAGGCUCCCAUUGAGCCAUCAAAUAGCUCCCUGAAUGCAUCUAUGACAUCUCAAUUGAAAUACAUCGAGGAUGACAUGUAAGCUGACUAUUAAUUCGUAUCUCAACAGGAACGAAAAUUGAGUUAAAUUAUACCAAGCGCGAUAUUUUGUAAUCUGAUAGAUUAAUGCUUUGGGAAGCGUAAAAUAACAUGGGCAUUGCAAUUAUCACCAGAUAUUGCAUUAAAAGUUACAAAAUAAUUGACUGUACUAACGUUUACCUCUACGAAAAUAUUAUUUUUUCCAAAUGUAUGAUUUGCGUACACUGGAAAAAAUGUCUUGUUAAACGAACAAAUGGAUUUUUUUUAGCCUUAAUGGAACUUUCCAAGUAAACUUUCAUUUUGCAUUGAAUACCGGCUCCCAGUACCCGAUCUGGGUACUGUGCUAAACCUCUAAUCUGAAACCGUCUUUACUCCCCAGAAGCCGGAUUUGGGUCUUGUUUAAGGAAUAAGGGCGUUACUCAAAUAAUUUAUGGGCGGUACUUACCAAGAAUGUUCACAUCUGCCCCUACUAAAAAUUGUAUCAAAAAGCAAAGUUACUGAAAUCUACACCGAAA